rnacentral:rRNA from 1 species
CCUACGGUGGGCUGCAGUGGGGAAUAUUGGACAAUGGGCGAAAGCCUGAUCCAGCCAUGCCGCGUGUGUGAAGAAGGCCUUCGGGUUGUAAAGCACUUUCUGUGGGGAAGAAAGCCUUGGGGCUAAUACCCUCGAGGAAGGACAUCACCCACAGAAGAAGCACCGGCUAACUCCGUGCCAGCAGCCGCGGUAAUACGGAGGGUGCGAGCGUUAAUCGGAAUUACUGGGCGUAAAGCGCGCGUAGGCGGUCUGAUAAGCCGGUUGUGAAAGCCCCGGGCUCAACCUGGGAACGGCAUCCGGAACUGUCAGGCUAGAGUGCAGGAGAGGAAGGUAGAAUUCCCGGUGUAGCGGUGAAAUGCGUAGAGAUCGGGAGGAAUACCAGUGGCGAAGGCGGCCUUCUGGACUGACACUGACGCUGAGGUGCGAAAGCGUGGGUAGCAAACAGGAUUAGAUACCCGGGUAGUC